rnacentral:rRNA from 1 species
UGGGGAAUUUUGGACAAUGGGCGAAAGCCUGAUCCAGCAAUGCCGCGUGUGUGAAGAAGGCCUUCGGGUUGUAAAGCACUUUUGUCCGGAAAGAAAUCCUUGGCUCUAAUACAGUCGGGGGAUGACGGUACCGGAAGAAUAAGCACCGGCUAACUACGUGCCAGCAGCCGCGGUAAUACGUAGGGUGCAAGCGUUAAUCGGAAUUACUGGGCGUAAAGCGUGCGCAGGCGGUUUGCUAAGACCGAUGUGAAAUCCCGGCGCACUAGGCAUGGAUGUGCAUGCUGGCAGGCUAGAGUAUGGCAGAGGGGGGUAAAUUCCACGUGUAGCAGUGAAAUGCGUAGAGAUGUGGAGGAAUACCGAUGGCGAAGGCAGCCCCCUGGGCCAAUACUGACGCUCAUGCACGAAAGCGUGGGGAGCAAACAGGAUUAGAUACCCUGGUAGUCCACGCCCCUAAAACGAUGUCAACUAGUUGUUGGGGGAUUCAUUUCCUUAGUAACGUAGCUAACGCGUGAAGUUGACCGCCUGGGGGAGUACGGUCGCAAGAUUAAAACUCAAAUGAAUUGACGGGGUCAUAGCUGUUUCCU